rnacentral:rRNA from 1 species
UACGUAGGGUCCGAGCGUUGUCCGGAUUUAUUGGGCGUAAAGAGCUCGUAGGCGGUUCCGUAAGUCAGAUGUGAAAACUCAGGGCUCAACCCGGAGACGCCAUCUGAUACUGCGGUGACUGGAGUCUGGUAGGGGAACACGGAAUUCCUGGUGUAGCGGUGAAAUGCGCAGAUAUCAGGAGGAACACCGAUGGCGAAGGCAGGUCUCUGGGCCACUACUGACGCUGAGAAGCGAAAGCAUGGGGAGCGAACAGG